GAUGCUGCUGGCGGAACCUGCAGGAGCUAGCGGGAUUCGGGGGCGCUAAAGUCGCAGGGGCAGGGCGGGAAGGAAGAUCCGGCGCGGGGCACAGGAUCCGGAGCUGGAGCCCCCAGAACUCUGUGAGAGGUGCCCCCUCCGCCAUCACCUGAGCUCCAUCGAAUGCCUGAAAUCCUCACCUCUGCAGGAGUGAGUCUCCCAAGAGGCCCUGGAGGCCCAGGCCCAGACCCUGGGGGAUAUGGAAGCACUCCUUUGUCGUGGCGUGGGAAGCCCCACACUGCUCUUUCCUUGGUGACGGGUGACCCGCCAUGUUCAGGCCCCUCCUGGUCUAUCUUCGGGAAGCCGAGGCAGCAGCUUGGAGCCAGAGCCGGAGGCAGAGCGGCUCCAUCCGUGGGGAGCCGCGCCACCUCUGCGCCUCCUCCGCGCCUCCUCUGCGCCCCGCGCCGUGCUGAGUCAGGCUCUGAAACGCAGUCAUCAUCCGGAAGUGGUUCUUGCUGUGGCCCCAUCCCCCUGUGUGAUUUUCCUACCUUGGCUCACUUAAAAUUUCAAUCUGGCUCUGA
rnacentral:lncRNA from 1 species